rnacentral:rRNA from 1 species
UACGUAGGCAGCGAGCGUUGUUCGGAGUUACUGGGCGUAAAGGGUGUGUAGGCGGUGCUCCCAGUCUGUUGUGAAAUCUCCCGGCUUAACUGGGAGGGUGCAGCGGAAACUAGAGUGCUAGAGGGUGGGAGAGGUAAGCGGAAUUCCUGGUGUAGCGGUGAAAUGCGCAGAUAUCAGGAGGAACACCGGUGGCGAAGGCGGUUCUCUGGGCAUGUUCUGACGCUGAGGAGCGAAAGUGUGGGGAGCGAACAGG